rnacentral:rRNA from 1 species
UACGGAGGGGACUAGCGUUGUUCGGAAUUACUGGGCGUAAAGCGCACGUAGGCGGAUUUGUAAGUCAGGGGUGAAAUCCCGGGGCUCAACCUCGGAACUGCCUUUGAUACUGCAAAUCUCGAGUCCGGAAGAGGUGAGUGGAAUUCCUAGUGUAGAGGUGAAAUUCGUAGAUAUUAGGAAGAACACCAGUGGCGAAGGCGACUGCCUGGACAAAGACUGACGCUGAGGUGCGAAAGCGUGGGGAGCAAACAGG